rnacentral:rRNA from 1 species
UAGGGAAUCUUCCACAAUGGACGCAAGUCUGAUGGAGCAACGCCGCGUGAGUGAAGAAGGUUUUCGGACCGUAAAGCUCUGUUGUUGGUGAAGAAGGAUAGAGGUAGUAACUGGCCUUUAUUUGACGGUAAUCAACCAGAAAGUCACGGCUAACUACGUGCCAGCAGCCGCGGUAAAUACGUAGGUGGCAAGCGUUGUCCGGAUUUAUUGGGCGUAAAGCGAGCGCAGGCGGAAGAAUAAGUCUGAUGUGAAAGCCCUCGGCUUAACCGAGGAAUUGCAUUGGAAACUGUUUUCUUGAGUGCAGAAGAGGAGAGUAGAACUCCAUGUGUAGCGGUGGAAUGCGUAGAUAUAUGGAAGAAUACCAGUGGCGAAGGCGGCUCUCUGGUCUGCAACUGACGCUGAGGCUCGAAAGCAUGGGUAGCGAACAGGAUUAGAUACCCUUGGUAGUCCAUGCCGUAAACGAUGAG